AUUUGAUUGAUUGAUUUUGAUUGAUUGAUCAUAUGACAAGGCGACAAGACUUUUAUCUGUGCAAAAAAUGACUCAGUGGGCUUUACCAAGCUGUGAACAUUAGAAUGCUUUUCAGCAGUUUCGUUUGGCACCUAAACAUUAUUUCAAACGCUGUUGGGAUUGAAAUUAGACAUUUCUUGUGAAAAAAAAUUAUUGCACAUGUAUUUGAGGGGCACUUAAGGUCAACUUGUACUGAAGUGACAAGACUUUUGUCAGGGACUGUAGGGUACCUUUAAGGUUAAGGUGUCAAAUUUGAGAGUCUCCAGCCAAGAGCAGAGGGGUGAAUGUUUAUCCAGUCCGGGGGUCCUGCUGGAGAUUAGCAACUUUGUCUCUUUGAAAUGGAAAAGAUUGACUGUCUGUCUUUUGGGGGAUCACCUCUUGGUUAGUUUCCCACAGACAGGCAGACAGGAGGUUGUAAAAGACCGUGGUUUGGUGUGUAAAUUCACCCCCCAUCUUCUUUUAGAGACCAGAGUCACUGCAUUCCUUUGAGGGUGAAUUAAAGAUGAGAGAGCAGAAACCAGUCAUCUGCUACAUAUCCCCCCUCCGUCUCGAUGGCAGCUUCGGGAGCCAUUGAGACGAUGAGAUGAGACGACCAUUUGGAGGCAGCGGUUAAUCCAAGGAGGGUUGAUGCGUCUCGUUCAGAGUUUGUCAUUGGCUAGGUCUACUAUAUAGGCUAAGUCUACUAAAUCUAAGCACGCAGUUACAGGGAGCAAACAAAAGCGCGACCAAGUUGUUUGCAUGGUCUUUCUUCCUCAUUAACUUCCUGUUCAGGUUCUGGCUGCCUACAGAGUUGUAGCCUAGCGCUACAUUGAUCUGUCUUGUACUGUAGAGCCCUGUCACGUUUGGUGUCUAGGGAAACUAGUACAAAGGUGGGAAGGUAUCCUAACCCUACGAUGACAGCUAACCUGGUGUUAAGGGACAACCAGAUGUAGAUUAUGGGUUGAAUUGGGGUUUCUCUUGAGAUCUGCGAGAUGUUCCUAGGAUCUACUUGGAGCGUAUGCUUGCUGAGAAACACUGGCAUUUCAACCUCAGUUGCAAGUUGAUCAGGGUUUAGAUAGUAGGGGGCAACGACCAUGGCAAGACUGUCUAAUGAUGAUAUUUCUGGCAACAUGUCUGACAUGAGCAUAUUCAACAGCAAUGUGCGAGCAUAGCCGACCUGGACCAUCGACAGCAAGGAAUUUAUAAUAUGCAGCGUCUUUUUCAGGACUUUACUAUGGGUAUUGACUGCAAGGACAGUGCCCUUGACUGUUUGACCAAUAGUCUGCAGUUGUGUCAGCUGUCUGUUAAUCUGAGCCCAGCUGUUCAGUUGAGCCGUUACCGGAACAUUUUUACAGUAGGCUUUCUUAGAGUUUAGCCUGACAAGCAACGUCUGCGUGUGCCGGUGACAGUUAGUUAUCAUUAGUUCGGGUUGUUUCCUCAGAACAAUCCCAUAGUCCAGUCCUGGUUCUACAGUCUCGGGUUUAGCUGGGGCAGCUACUACGCCAAGGCUCAGGAGCAUUACUAGCCAAAUCAUCCUAGAGGUGAGUACGGACAUUAUUAGAAUGAUAUGGUUGCAAAAGGAUCUAAAAUUUCAAAUGAUCACUACCACUUUCUCAACUCCCCCUCCCUUCGUGACUCAACCUGUGCCCGAGGGCAUGGUCAGUGUCAAAGUUAGAACCAAUGCAAACGCACAGAUAUAGCAAAAAUGUAAGUAGAACGAUAGUAUCAGAGAACUGGUGGGCCUGACGUUAGUCAGGAAAGCUCGGAGCUGUCCUACUUUAUUACUCAAAGGUGGCGCUAGAGGCCCCGACAAGUCCCAUGGGGUUCUGGUGAAGUUUGCUUUGGUUGUGGUGGACCCAUUUGAGGGUCAGCUCCCUGUUUUUUCUGUGCUCUGUGCACGGAGAGUCAUGGGCGUAUGCUAACCUUACCCCCCUGUGGCUGCGAGGCGCCACCAAGGCAGGUGAAGUGAGUGCAUCAGAGGCAAAGACAAGGAAGUCAUUGACGAGCCGAAGCAAAGGACGCACAUGGAAAAGAUGGGAGUCGUUAGGAAUGGGGCGAAAGAGGUCAGGAGACAUGAGUGAGGUCGAAGGCUUAGAGGGAAAGGAAGUUUUGGCAGCGACGGCUGGAUUUGAGACCUAGAGGGGCAGCAAAUCAGGUCUUGAGAAGGCCAGAGGCGCAGAUCGGGUGUCGACGAUAGCACAGACCACAGGGGUGGGUUGGGUGGGAAAGACAGUGGGGUCAGGGUGCCACGGUGUGCCAGUUAAGGCUCUUUGUUUGUCCCAGGAGCUAUCAAAUUCACACCAAAAGGGGUCUUUUUGCAUGACUGAGUCACUGAGAGGCCACAAGCAAGGCUGCGGUCCGUCGUCAGGCAGGCCUGUCUGGGCUGGGGGACCCACACUUGCUGGUGUGCUUUGUUAGGGUUCCUGUGUUAGGAUGUAGCACUGAGCCUGACUUAUGGUAGUUGUUUGGAUCGGUAGGGGUCUGUGGAUUUGUGCCCAUAAUGCUCGAAGUUUGUAGUCGAUUAAGGGUUCGAACCAAUUUAGGAGGUCAUGGCUAAUGAGGAAUGGAAUCGACUCGAUGGGUGACACAUACACAGGGUGCAUGAUUUUCAUCGGUCCAAUGGCGAUGCUUAACAUUGUCAUUGUUGUCAAGGUCGUACUGUCCUUGGAGUAAGGUUAGAUCUUCAUGGCGUGAGGCUGCAGAUUAAGAUCUCUGUUGGAUCGCUGCACCAUGUUGUGCUAGUGAUUGAAAAGCGUCCUUGACAUCAGAGUGAUGUCAGCAGCAGUGUCUAGGAGCGCUUCAUGUUGAAGUUCAUUUUCAAGAAUGGUGUUCAGGUAAAAUUUCUGUGUGGCUCCCUUCUUUGUGAGGUUGCCCAGGAAUUGGAGGAAGGGUGGUUCAAGAUCGUUAGUGGUGUCAAUAGGUGGAGGAGUCACAGACUCCUGAGGCCUGUACUACGAAGCUGGAUUUGGUCUUAGCGAGAUAACUUCUGGAUAACUUCUGGGUUUUCUGUACUACGAAGGUGGAUCUCUUUUUAUCCGGGUCCGUUGCCCCGGUAACUUACGCGGAACGCCAAACCUGCUCCGGAGCAGGUUAUGUUUCAGGAUAAGAUCUCAGCAGGUAUAAAAAACCGCCCGAUGACCAAUCGGAUCUCUUGGAAAAUGGCUUGCCCACUUUUGCCGGAUCCCGGGGACAUCGUUGCACGGAUAGUGAGAGGAGCGCUCCGCCGAGAGCGUUAUAUUCAUGAUUGUUCAAAUCCGUUUGAUUUACCUGAUGACGUUCUCUAUGAACGUUACAGGUUUUCCUCGGACGGCCUCAAUAUUCAAGUAGCAAGAAGUCUAAGCAAUACACUAAUAUUUGCCAAGCUCCAGGUUCAAAUUUGUUAGUCAUCUUUCAGAAUUCAUUGAAGCAGAUAAGAAAACUCUUAACCCCAAAUGUGUCUGCAGAUGACGUGACCAUCAGAUGAUGGAGAAAAAAAAAAGGCAGUGUGAGGAAAUCACUGUUUACGCGUUGAAAUAUGUACAAAUAAAAUCUUCCAAUAAACUUACAAACUACUUUAAAGGAUGUUUUUAGAUUUAUUUUUAUUUGCUCCCACGUACUCUUUUCCCCACUGCUGUUGUAUCUGAAAUAAUGAGGUCAGUGAUGGUGGUGAUCACACACGCUGCAUGACAAUAUAUUAGGGGGCCAUAAAUU